ACUAUUUUGGCAGAAAAUUGUAAUGAUCUUAGAAGUCAUGAAUAUAUAAUUAUUUAUUAUAUAGAUAGUA
rnacentral:tRNA from 1 species